GUGCUCACUUUGGCAGCACAGACACUGAAAUUGGGAGCGACAGGGAGAUUAGCAUGGCCUGCCACAAGGAUGACAUGCAAAUUCAUGAAACAUUCCAUAUUUUU
ensembl:snRNA U6 U6 spliceosomal RNA